GACGUAGGGUGCGAGCGUUGUCCGGAUUUAUUGGGCGUAAAGAGCUCGUAGGCGGUCUGUCGCGUCGGAUGUGAAAGCCCGGGGCUUAACCCCGGGUCUGCAUUCGAUACGGGCAGACUAGAGUGUGGUAGGGGAGAUCGGAAUUCCUGGUGUAGCGGUGAAAUGCGCAGAUAUCAGGAGGAACACCGGUGGCGAAGGCGGAUCUCUGGGCCAUUACUGACGCUGAGGAGCGAAAGCGUGGGGAGCGAACAGG
rnacentral:rRNA from 1 species